AGUGAACGCUGGCGGUAGGCCUAACACAUGCAAGUCGAACGGCAGCACAGUAAGAGCUUGCUCUUACGGGUGGCGAGUGGCGGACGAGUGAGGAAUACAUCGGAAUCUACUUUUUCGUGGGGGAUAACGUAGGGAAACUUACGCUAAUACCGCAUACGACCUACGGGUGAAAGCAGGGGAUCUUCGGACCUUGCGCGAGUGAAUGAGCCGAUGUCGGAUUAGCUAGUUGGCGGGGUAAAGGCCCACCAAGGCGACGAUCCGUAGCUGGUCUGAGAGGAUGAUCAGCCACCCUGGAACUGAGACACGGUCCAGACUCCUACGGGAGGCAGCAGUGGGGAAUAUUGGACAAUGGGCGCAAGCCUGAUCCAGCCAUACCGCGUGGGUGAAGAAGGCCUUCGGGUUGUAAAGCCCUUUUGUUGGGAAAGAAAAGCAGCAGGUUAAUACCCCGCUGUUCUGACGGUACCCAAAGAAUAAGCACCGGCUAACUUCGUG
rnacentral:rRNA from 1 species